rnacentral:lncRNA from 1 species
ACUAUUUUUGCGAGGUUUUGGAAAACACAAUACAUGAUAAAAUAUAAUUUAAACAUAAUACUCUUCUUUCUGGUUAAAACAUAUUUCUUUCAACCACAGUAAAUAUUAGAAAAAAUAAUAGGACUAAUGUAUUUUUAACAAACCCUUACUUUCCUAAUAUCUAUGUUGCUCUUUUAGAAAAUGGUAUAAAAUCAAAGACACUGGUCUUUUUCUUCCUUGCUAUAGCUUUUGCAAUAUUAAAAGUAUGAAAUUGCCAUCUAUGUCCUGAAGGAACUAUUUAAAAAAAAAAGGAAAUCUUAAAGAAUUCCCCAAGGAAUUUUCCCUUCAUUCACCAACUUGAAACUGUUUUCUUCCCCCAUGGUUAAAUAUUUAACAUGUUGCUGCUAUAUAAGAAUCAUCUUUAUGUUAAUUAUUCUAAUUAUAGACAACCUUCCAUAUUUUCCAGCACUAAAUGCUACUUUGUUUGACCAAUUAAAUUUUAGAUUACUCAGUAGAAGUCUGUUUAUAAUUCUGACUGUUCGGUUGUACCAUCAUCUCAGUUUACAAAUUAACUUUUUAAUUUGAGGCUAUCAGAUACCAUAACAAGAAUGCUAACAUAUGAAUAGUUUAAUCAGUUUUCAUUAUGCAAUAGGUGUUCAAAAGAAAUUGAGAAAUGAUGUAGUUUAGUUAGAAGUCUUACAUUUUGUGUCACAGGUUCUGUUUAAUGGCUUUUGAGAAGUAUUGCUUCAAUUCUUUUUCCAAAAAGCAAUAAAGCAGAAGUUGUUUUUACAAAGCAGAUAGAAAAUUGAUUCAAUGAUGCUGGGCAUUUUCCAAAUGUAAUGCAGUAUUUCCAGACUGUUACAUAAGUAAUAAUGGCUUUGGUAUUUAAGUAAGCAUUUCAUUAAAUGGGUUGAUUUUAGUUCUAAAACUAAGGCUAGCAUCACUAAAUAAUGAAUAGAUGAGAAGGAGUCAGUCAUGUAAUUUUGUGUUAAAAAAGUCACCAUUUAUGUGUAUGUGAACCUCCAAUUGAAAGGACGUGCUGAACUGUUAUAUACCUCAUCAAUUUUUAUUUCACAAACGCAGGGUUUAUUUAAGUACUUUUUUCUUUAAAAACUGUAAUAAAUUUAAUAAUGAGUUGUAAUAUCACUUUCAAUUGUCUAUAAGAAGGAAACUAACAUAAAUCUUGGGGUUUUUUCCCUUAUACUUUCAGAUUUAACCAUAUUUACUUUUAGUAAAAUGCCUCUCUUUCUCAGAAUUGCUCUUAGAAUUUAUUGAUUUCUAAACUAAAUAUCACAAAGUAAAGCAUCUCUGACUACUUCUUCCAAUUCUCUAAGAUAUGUUCAAUCCUUAUAUUCUAUCAAUUCUGAUCAGAAAUCACACAUAAUAAUGAUUAACAUUUCAUCAUUUUAAUAUUUUCAUCAACUGUCAUACUAAAAGUUGUCUUUAAAUAUCUCACAAAGUUGGAUUGGCUUUUCAGAAAUUAAGGGGUUAUUAGCUGAGAAUUUUGACUUUCAACCUUGUAAAUAUAGGAAACAAACAAAAAAGAGGGGGCUUAGAUGACAAAAAGAAUUAUAAAUAUUUGUUUAUAAUUUUAUGGGCUAUGAGAGAAAAGCCUUUUUUCCCCUAAAUUAUAGUAUAGUGUAAUACAACAAAAUAAGCAUUUACACUCAGUUCAAAUUCUGUUCAAACAUUAUAUAACAUGGUUUAGCCUAAAAUACAAUCAAGUCUAGAAGUGUGUUGUGAUUAGGUCCAUCUUGUGUUACACCAUAUGAAUACUAGGAAAUUUUUUUAGAAAUUUGAAGGCAUGCCUGUACCCCAUAUAAGCGGCCUUGUUCCUUCUUAAUUGGAAUUGCAAGCACUAUCUACUGAAUUUUACCACAUUUUUAGUAUACUGCACCUUGCUAAGCUAAGAAGGUAAAGAGGUUCACUUAAGAAGUUCUGUCUGAAUUGAUUCUUCCCUAGAGCCUGGCUUAUUUUAUUUUAAUUUUUUUUUUAUUCCUACUACUACUGCUCACCCUAACCCGCCAAACUGGGAGGGUCAAAAAAAAAAAAAAAAAGAUUCCAGGGGAAUAGAUAUUGUACAAGUCAAGGUUAAAAAAGGGCAGUGUAUACAUUGCUUAUAAAGUCUUACCUCAUGCUGGGCUCAAUUAAGAGAAAAGCAAAUUAAGGUGCAGCAGAUGAAUAAGUAUCUUACCUCAAGCAUGAGCUCUUCAGAUUGAGUAAUACACCCAGUAAGGUGGCAUUCUCAGAGCCUAAACAAUCUUUUUAAAGGUCUAAUACCAAUUUUCUUAUUUGGUUUCAAUAAAUAUAAGCCACCUCUCCUGUUACAAUUCCAUUCUUGUUUCUUCCACACAAAUUUUUGACAUAUAUUAGUAAUUAAAAAUUAUAAUUUAAGUGGCAUCAUGUUUAUUUCUCAAAUUAGAGUGAAUCAAAUGUAAUUUAGAAGAUUUCUUAGCCCGUUUUCCACAUAUUACAACAGAGAUUCAUUUGGGUUUUGCUUCCAAAUCUGGGCCUAGAGGACCACCAGUAUUGAGGUCAUCUACCAGCACAACUGUGGAUUUAAUAGUAGCACCAGAGUAAAGAAUAGUAUGUGCCUGCAUGAUUGGGUGGCCGUCUUGCCCCAAAGGCCUCAAACACAGCACCUUCUGGUUUAACACCAAGCAUAGGUUCUCCUUCUCUGGUAAGGGUAGCAUCUAUCUCAUUCGUGCACAUUUUUGAACAGACAUAUUUUAGCACAGUUACCAAUGUUUGCCUUAGGUUUUUGUAGGCUGCUUUGUCCAACUCUUUAUUUUAUUUUGGUAUAAUUUUAUCUUCAUCUCCCUCUUUUCCAUGGAGAAUUUAUUUACAAAUCUGUAUAUGUGCAAUGAAAAGAUAGUCUCAUGAUGGGACAUGAGCGUUGAGCUCAACGAAUGACAUGGGAAACUGAAAGAUCACAUGAGCUAAUCAUAUUAAACAGAAUAAUUAGACUGGCCACUUUAAUUAUUAUAAAGAAUACAUCCUUUUUUUUUCCUACAUAAAAUCCUUUUCUCACCAGUUCAGAAGUAUUUUUUUCUUAAGAUUAUCAUUUUAGAAUGUGAGGAGUUGGUCAUGUAGUAAAUGAUAAACAUCCUUUUUUUUCAUUUCCAUUAAAUUCAGAUCAACAGCCUUUUGUCUGGCACCUAUAUCAUGACAGAUGUUGGUAGUAUGAAGACAAAUUAGCUAAGGUCACAACAAUGAAGAAGGCAACAGUUUUGCUGGGUGGCAAUAUGUGAAUAAAUAAAUUGUAGCAAAUACUCUAUAAGACAUGUAAAACAGGUUAUUCACAAAUGUAAUGACAGUGGUUGACUUACUGAAACUAAAAAUGAAUUAAAAAUAUGUGCAACAGGAAAGAGAAUUAUGGGAAGAGGACACAGUAGAAAGUAUCAGGAAUCUGUCUCCCCUUGACAAUUUUACUGAUGGAAUCUAUAUGAUGUAACUAUUUUGGAAUUCUAGUGAAGGUGUCAAACUUUCCAAAAAAGGAUUAGAUGGUAAACUGUAGUUAAUAUUGACCAAUUUAAAGUCUCAGCACAGCAGCAGCUACCUAACUACUGCUGAGAGUCAUAUGGCAUACAUAGUAGUUCUGUGUACAUUCCAGAAGCAAGUUUGCACACAGUUUGAGGGAGACAGGUUGAACCAAAAGGAUCCUGUUCUCCAAACAUUAGGGAUCUAUACUCAGAUUGGUGAAUACUGCUUCUCAUAAUGGAGAUGCAGACAAGAUGUGGCAGUCACUUUUGUUAUAUCUUACCCCAUUUUGGCUGCACCUUACCUUAUUGUUGCUACACUUUACUGGGAUUGUUACUCGCCCCACCCCUUCUAGCUAAAUUAACUUACAGGGAUACUUAAGAGCCAGCACACUUCCUCUUCAUUUUUCUUGUUCUACUUGUGGAGCCAGAUACUGAAAACUAAUAUAUCAAAAGCAAAUACAUAUACAGGAGAAGUUAGAAAGUUACCUGAGAAAAUUUUAAGUUUAUACCUCAGCCUGAUUCUCCAUACAGAGGUAGCUAUAAUAAUUUAUUUUUAAAAUGCAGAUCCAGUACUACUUCAAUAAAACUU